GGAGCUGGGGACAGCGUUGCUAUGUGGUCGUUACCACAAGGGAAAUCGGGAGGUUUUCCAGGAGGAAGAUGGUGACCCAGAAGGAGGACCUGAGUGGCAGUUGUCCAGGUAGUGGGCAGUGAGGUCUGAUGAAUAUGCUAUGAAUGAACUGGAAUUUUAAAAGGAAAAGAGAAGAAAGAUGGUCUGUAGGUGAUAUAGAACCAGGAUGCCAUGUACCCACUGCAAGCCUUUGGUGUAGGAGAUGGGGGGACAGAUGGCCCUUGGUGGGUGGACGGCGAAUCAUGUUGGAGAAGUGAGGGCACGGUGAUGGGCCAUGGUUCCAGAUGUGGAAGAGCUGUGGGGCGUGAGGACUGGGUGGUGAAUUUGGGAAAUGGGAACUGGUCCUACUGGUCUGAGGCUGUUGGGGAGAAGAUGGGGACCUUUGAUGUCAACCUUCUUGGAAUUGCUUUCCUGAGUGGUUCAUUGGGGUGAGAUGGGUGGUGCAGUGGAGGGGUGGGAAGGGAGUGGGGGUCUCCCGGGAUCAUGAAGAGCUUGGUGAGCCUCCCUCAGAUCCUGCUGAGGGUGCCUCGGGGCCUGGGCUGGCCAGACUCUCCAGGGCACCCUGUGGUGGCUGUGGGCUCUUUCUGGAACUCCCCUAGUCUGGUAGAUCCCACAAGUCCCACCAAGGAGCUUGACCAAUGCCUCGAUGUGCUUGGUGGAGAACCGAGAGUGCUCUGUUGAGAAGUCCAAGGUCCCCAUUCCGAAAGCCCAGGGUCCACACCCAUGUGGAGAGUCCCGAGCUGGGACGAGGUACCACUGUGAAGCCCCUGUCUUCUCGUUUCCAAGCCCUGACCCUGAGGACUCAGGAAUGCAAUUGCCGCUCCAGGGAAGGGGCAGGGCAUUCAGCCUCGGGGAGGUGAGUGGCCAGCCCCGCUGAGUCCCGGCGUGUCCUCGGGAUGCACGUUGUCCAUCACACUAACACUCGAUGUCCAGUCUGCCCACAGGACGGCGGCUGGAGGCCGCACCCCUCAGAGACGUGGAAGGGGACCCCUUGUCUGUCUUGUCUCUGCUUUUCUGUGGUACUUGAAGAGAAGUUGUUCGUGGUGGAUUCGCUUUACUUAUGACGAAUCAUUCACGGACAACACUUUUUUCAGUACCAAAUACUACCACUAAGGACUCCCCAGACAUGACGGCCACUUCGGGAGAGAAGUCUUCGUGUUCUCCAGAAGACGAGAAUGGCUGGCUGGCCAGGGCCACAGGCUUGUCCUAGCUGUAAGUCAUCUGGUCCACUAACCUGAGCGUCCUCCAUCUGUAGGAGGCCUUCCUAAGGGCCAUGCCAACUCUGGGGAAACGGCUGUGGUUCUGUCACCAGUGUCACCUUACAAGACUUUGAAGAGAGGCUUCCUGGGUCCAAGGCUAACUUCCAGAAGAGAUGCUGGUGUCAGGACAGUUCAGGGUGUGUGACUGGUUGACCAGAGGGGCAAGCACUCUGUUCACCCUCUGGGCCACCUAGUCACCGACCCUCAGCACCAACCCCACCCACCCGGAAGACUUGGAGGGAGUCCUGCCAACUUUGGGAAGCAGCAAUGGACUUGCGACGGUGGCCGCCCUGUGGACAACCAUGGUCGGGAGGGCGUGUGGACUUAAAACGUGAUGAGUCACCCUUGGUAGUGGCAUCGCUGUCAUUGCCACAGCCUCCUUGAAGCGCUCCUGGGACACAGCGUUGUCUUCCAUUGAGGGACCUGAAGCCAGCGGCCAGCUCCUCUCGGGGGAGGUUCCCUGGUGAUGCCUGCCCGGGGAAGUAGCCACGGUUCUCGGGUCAGUGUGGCUCCAUCACAGGAGCCAAGGGACCACCGCAGUGUGCUGACAUGGUGAUGACUGUGGGAUGCAGCCCUUCUGGUCCAGGAGGACUGUAGAGAGAGCCGCCCCCACUUAGGGGCAGCCAUCUUGGCAGGACAGGCAGUGGAUUUCUCAC